CUCAGCUCCCACUUUUCCAGUUUAAAAGACUCUUUACAGGAGAGGUGGCCAAGGGCCAGCUAAUUUGGUUUUUGUUUUGUUUUGUUUUGUUUGUAGAAGUGAUGUUUUUUUUCCUGACUUGUUCCGGCCCAGGUCCAGUCCGCGCGCACGACGUCCUCCAGAGUGGUGACCACGGCAUCCUGAAGCUUUUGGUGUCCUGGACGGCUGCACGCGGUCGGGGGAGGGCCGAGGGGACUCGCCAAGGGCACGGUGGCCAUGGCGACAGCUGUGGCCAUGGCGACCGCGGCUCAGAGCACAGAGAGGUCGUGACACGAUCUGGAGCGCUGCUUGAAGAACUUGGCGUUGCGCGGCACCAGGUUGGCGAGGAAGCGCUUGGCCUUCUUGGAGCUAAAUGCAAGAGAGUUCCUGCACCCGUGAGGCUAAAAAAGGCUUUAGGGAGAAGACGUGACACGGAAGGGAGAGCAUUCCCUUGAGAUCGAUGAUUGGCAGGUCGUGGUGGGGCCUCCCAGCCCGGAGCCGAAGAAGCGUUUCCGGAACUUUCGAGAAACUUCGUCGAUCCGUGACUGAGAAGACUAUGAGAAAGGCAUCCCCGGUCUGAAGGCAGUGGUCCCGCAGCCAUCCGCCUGCGUCUCCCUGCGGAUGAGCAAAGAGCAGUGGAAUUAGAGGCUCAGGAGACUGCUCAGCGCCUGUAGCUAAAAAAAGGAAUCAGACUCCUGCUUUGGACAUGGAGGUACUUAAGAGUCUUCUAUCCAGCUUUCUGGAGAAGGGGCAAGUUAGUGAUUGUGAAUUCCACAUGAAAGAAUUGAUGACAUAGGAUCCUAGACUAGGGUAGCCAUUCUAUUUUCUUAGGCUGAAGCUCUGGAUCAAGAAAAAAGUAGUACCAAAUGUAGGGGCUGGAGAUGUAGCUCAAUUGGUAAAGCACGUGCAUGCGCAAGGCCCUGAGUUCCAUCCCCAGCAUAAACUGAAUGUGUAACCCCAACGCUGGAGAAGGAGGCGGAAAGAGGAUCAUAAAUUCAACAGCAUCCUCUGCUGCAUGGGUUGUUCAAGGCCAGCCUGGGUGCUACCUCAGGCCCUGUCAGAAAUAAUUAAAGUGUGUAAUCCAGAUGUGAUGACUCACACCUGUAAUUCCAGCAUUCAUCAGGCUGAGGCAGGAAUGCUGCCCUGAGUUCCAGGCCAUUCGCCUUCACAGUGGAGAGCCUGACUCAAAAACCAAAAAUUAGUAGUAAUAAAUACACUCUUUUUAAAAGUAUUUUAAGGGGCUGCAUUUGCCUGCAGACAAAGGAUCCCGGUUCAAUUCUCUAGGACCCACGUAAACACAAGGUGGCACAUGAGUCUGGGGUUCGUUUGCAGUGGCUGGAGGGCCCAGCACACCCAUUCUCUCUCUCAUU